rnacentral:rRNA from 1 species
CGUACACUCCUGCGGGAGGCAGCAGUGGGGAAUAUUGGACAAUGGGCGCAAGCCUGAUCCAGCCAUGCCGCGUGAGUGAUGAAGGCCCUAGGGUUGUAAAGCUCUUUCACCGGUGAAGAUAAUGACGGUAACCGGAGAAGAAGCCCCGGCUAACUUCGUGCCAGCAGCCGCGGUAAUAAGAAGGGGGCUAGCGUUGUUCGGAUUUACUGGGCGUAAAGCGCACGUAGGCGGACUAUUAAGUCAGGGGUGAAAUCCCGGGGCUCAACCCCGGAACUGCCUUUGAUACUGGUAGUCUUGAGUUCGAGAGAGGUGAUUGGAAUUCCGAGUGUAGAGGUGAAAUUCGUAGAUAUUCGGAGGAACACCAGUGGCGAAGGCGGCUCACUGGCUCGAUACUGACGCUGAGGUGCGAAAGCGUGGGGAGCAAACAGGAUUAGAAACCCCAGUAGUCCCAUG